rnacentral:rRNA from 1 species
GAUGAACGCUGGCGGCGUGCUUAACACAUGCAAGUCGAACGAACGACUAUUAACAGAACCUUUCGGGGCGAAGAAUAUAGAAGUUAGUGGCGGACGGGUGCGUAACGCGUGGGUAAUCUGCCUUUGUCAAAGGAAUAACUAUUCGAAAGAAUAGCUAAAACCGUAUAACAUAUUAAUAGGGCAUCCUAAUAAUAUCAAAACGAUAGUGGACAAAGAUGAGCCCGCGUCUGAUUAGCUAGUUGGUGAGAUAAAAGCCCACCAAGGCAACGAUCAGUAGCCGACCUGAGAGGGUGAACGGCCACAUUGGAACUGAGACACGGUCCAAACUCCUACGGGAGGCAGCAGUGGGGAAUAUUGCACAAUGGGGGGAACCCUGAUGCAGCAACGCCGCGUGAGUGAAGAAGGCAUUCGUGUCGUAAAACUCUGUAGUAGGGGAAGAAAGAAAUGACAGUACCCUAAAAGAAAGCCCCGGCUAACUACGUGCCAGCCGCCGCGGUAAAAC